rnacentral:rRNA from 1 species
UGCCUACGGGGCGCAGCAGUGGGGAAUAUUGCACAAUGGGGGAAACCCUGAUGCAGCGACGCCGCGUGAGUGAAGAAGUAUUUCGGUAUGUAAAGCUCUAUCAGCAGGGAAGAAAAUGACGGUACCUGACUAAGAAGCCCCGGCUAACUACGUGCCAGCAGCCGCGGUAAUACGUAGGGGGCAAGCGUUAUCCGGAUUUACUGGGUGUAAAGGGAGCGUAGACGGCGACGCAAGUCUGGAGUGAAAGCCCGGGGCCCAACCCCGGGACUGCUCUGGAAACUGCGUCGCUGGAGUACGGGAGGGGC